AGUGGAUGGGGAGCAACCUAUGUUGUGCGUGUGUAAAGGUAGUGCCAAGAAAAGCGAUGAUCAUGUUGAAAAUCAAUUCCCGGUACCCGAAACCGACACAGGUGGGCAAGUAGAGAAUACUAAGGGGCGCGAGGUAACUCUCUCCAAGGAACUCGGCAAAAUGACCCCAUAACUUAGGGAGAAGGGGUGCCACCGAGAGGUGGUCGCAGUGAAGAGGCCCAGGCGACUGUUUAGCAAAAACAUAGGUCUCUGCAAACUCGAAAGAGGAGGUAUAGGGGCUGACGCCUGCCCAGUGCCGGAAGGUUAAAGAAGUUGGUCAGUUUUAGGAUGAAGCUAGCGACUGAAGCCCCGGUGAACGGCGGCCGUAACUAUAACGGUCCUAAGGUAGCGAAAUUCCUUGUCGGGUAAGUUCCGACCCGCACGAAAGGCGUAACGAUCUGGGCGCUGUCUCGGAGAGAGGCUCGGCGAAAUAGGAUUGUCUGUGAAGAUACGGACUACCUGCAUUUGGACAGAAAGACCCUAUGAAGCUUUACUAUAGCUUGGAAUUGUGUUCGGGCUUCCUGUGCGCAGGAUAGGUGGGAGGCGUAGAAGGUAUUCUUGUGGGGAUACUGGAGCCAACGGUGAGAUACCACUCUCAGGAGGCUAGAAUUCUAACUUAAUUAAGGACAGUUUCAGGUGGGUAGUUUGACUGGGGCGGUCGCCUCCAAAAAGGUAACGGAGGCGUACAAAGGUUCCCUCAGACUGGUUGGAAAUCAGUCGAAGAGUGCAAAGGCAGAAGGGAGCUUGACUGCGAGAAGUACAGUUCGAGCAGGGUGGAAACACGGUCUUAGUGAUCCGACGGUGCUGUGUGGAAGGGCCGUCGUUCAACGGAUAAAAGUUACUCUAGGAUAACAGGCUGAUCUCCCCCAAGAGUUCACAUCGACGGGGAGGUUUGGCACCUCGAUGUCGGCUCAUCGCAACCUGGGGCGGAAGUACGUCCCAAGGGUUGGGCUGUUCGCCCAUUAAAGCGGUACGUGAGCUGGGUUCAGAACGUCGUGAGACAGUUCGGUCCAUAUCCGAUGUAGGCGUGAGAAUAUUGAGAGGAGCCUUCCUUAGUACGAGAGGACCGGGAAGGACGCACCGCUGGUGUACCUGUUAUGAUGCCAAUUGUAAACGCAGGGUAGCCAAGUGCGGAGAGGAUAACCGCUGAAAGCAUCUAAGUGGGAAGCCCACCUCAAGAUGAGUAUUCUGGUGUAAGGUCACGGGAAGACGACCCGUAAAUAGGCACGAGGUGGAAGUGCAGAGAUGUAUGAAGCCGAAGUGUACUAAUAGACCGUCGGCUUGACC
rnacentral:rRNA from 1 species